rnacentral:rRNA from 1 species
UGGGGGAUAUUGCACAAUGGAGGAAACUCUGAUGCAGCAACGCCGCGUGAGGGAAGACGGUCUUCGGAUUGUAAACCUAAGUUAUCAGGGACGAAGAAAGUGACGGUACCUGAAGAGAAAGCUCCGGCUAACUACGUGCCAGCAGCCGCGGUAAUACGUAGGGAGCGAGCGUUGUCCGGAUUUACUGGGUGUAAAGGGUGCGUAGGCGGGUCAGCAAGUCAGGCGUGAAAUCCCACGGCUCAACUGUGGGGCUGCGCUUGAAACUGUGGAUCUUGAGUGAAGUAGAGGCAAGCGGAAUUCCUAGUGUAGCGGUGAAAUGCGUAGAUAUUAGGAGGAACACCAGUGGCGAAGGCGGCUUGCUGGGCUUUAACUGACGCUGAGGCACGAAAGCAUGGGGAGCAAACAGG